rnacentral:lncRNA from 1 species
GGUGAGUUGGGAUCCGGCACUGGCGGAGUCCUUACUGACUUCCGUUCUUCAAGGAUUUCCUGGACCGACUAAGGUCUUUUCCAGACUUCUUUCCCAGCUCUGCUGGGAGGAGAGGCGGCUGAUGUGUGAAGGUCCCUGGCUCAGAGCAGGUGCAGAUGGGGAAACUGAGGCUAAGAAAACAUGAAUAAUCUGACCAGAGUCACAAGAGCUAAUGAGUGGCCAAGCCUGGAAGGAGCGUUGCAGCUAUAAAAAAAAAAAAAAUCAAUUUAUUGCGGAUCUUCUGAAUUGACUCAACAGAUCCAAGAAUGGGAAAACUACGAGUGCCAAGGGUCCACUCAGCAGCCCAAGGAAGAGGACACGGCUAGUGGGGAGACCUAUAUCCAAGGCCCCAUCAGGGAAGUGACGUCACUGAGUCAGGCAUGAACAAGGUCUGUGUCAUCGCAGGAGCAAAGAGCAGGCUGUUUCCCACCUGGGCCGGGCAGGUGCCUCCGGAGGUUAGAAGACAGUGGGGGGGGGGGGGAGGAGCAGGCUUUGUGGAUUAUUUCCUCAGCUGGAUUCAUCUCCACUCAAGUGUCAGUGGUGAGGCCCUUCUCAGGUGACAGGUACCUUGAGAAAACGAAGGCGAGGAAGACCUACUUCCUGCCCUGACGUCAGGCUGGUGGGAGGGGAACCGACAGCAGAGAUGAGGUCUGUGUCAACUGCAGUUUAGGUGUGAUGCAGAAAGCACAGGGGGAUGGGGAAGAGAUUUGAUCAUUGGCAUCGACUCCCCUCCCCCUUCCUUCCUUUUUCUCCCCUUCCCUUCCUUCUUCCCUCUCACUCAAAUUUUCUGAGCCCAGUACUGUGAUGGCUGCAGAGGAAAACAUAAAGAAGCAGCAGAUCCAUCCUCUACCUUCACAAGCUCCUGAAAUCCUGAGCGGAAGACAUGGAGCAGGACUCCCAAAUAGCAUGGUGAAGGCAGGUUGGAGGAGCCGCCGGCUGGGGCAGUCUCUAAAAGCAUGUCAGGCACAGUUGAAAAGACCUGACUAACAAAAUGCCAUUUAAUCUGCAUCUCAAAAUAACAUGGUCAGAGCAAGGACUCCAAAAAAUGUAAAUACACUGAGACAACAGCCAACUCUAUGUAGGGCCCCUGUGUACAGUUCCGCAAGUUGUGCACUGCACAAAGGGGAUGAGCCUAGGCUGAAAUCCAUCCCACCUGCUUCUGGCCAAUUUGGGUGCCCUGGUGCAAGAUGGUACCUGUCCAGAGCUAAUGGGCCUUUUAUUCUAACAAAGGGGCCAUCUGCCUCCCCAAACUGUGGGGCUGCACCCGCCCAGCAGGUGGACUUUUAUCAAAUCACGUGGAGACUCCCUAUGAGGUAGCAAUGUCCCAACUCGGCCUGAGGAUUUCAAGGGAACCGACCUGGGAAGUAUUGAGGCAUUUUCAUCUUUAAAACACAAAGAAUGGCAAAGCAAAUAUCGAUCCUGAAGUCGACACCCAGAAGGUGUGUCCCAGGCUCUAGGAGGCAGCCCAAUUUCCCCGGGGAUCACACAACUUGUUAGUGGCAAAAUAUGGAGUAGGACCCGCCCUCGUGUUCGGCAGGCUUCCCUCUAAGCCCUGCAUGUUUGAGUGUCUCUCAAAAUGCAGGAAAUAGGACAGGAAAGCUGGGGCCAGGGGUCUUUCUCCAGCUUCACAAACUGUGACUGGGUUGCAGGCUGGUGUCAUAUCUUUAUGACUACUUAAAAACUCAAAAUCCGUAGUUCCCAUCAUGGCUCAGAGGGAAUGAAUCUGACUAGCACCCAUGAGGAUGCAGGUUCGAUCCACGGCCUUGCUCAGUGAAUUAAGAAUCUGGUGCUGCCGUGAGCUGCGGUGUAGGCUGGCAGCUAUAGUUCUGAUUCAACCCCAUUUGCUGUGGCUGAGGCCCCCGAAAGACAAAACACACACACACACACACACACACAAACCUCAAAAUCCCUGUAGUCAGGAAUCUCAAAUUUUUAUAAACAGCAUCGUGUGAUUGACAAUUAUAUUCCAAGCAUGCCCAGUGAAGAUAAUAACCAUGGCAAGAACAGCAAUAAUUUGGGGUCAAUUGUAGUCAACUUCUGCUUUUCUAAUAUAAUGCUACAUUCAAAGGUCUUUUUUUAUCCCUGUAAAUUAGGAGCCAGGGAUGAUGUUCAUUGGAUAAAGAGGAGCAACAUGAGCGGUAUUUAUAUUCAGGAUCCUUAGAAUGGAGCGUGCUGGGAUGCUCUCAGUGCUGCAGUCUGACGAUGAUGGCAUUUCUAUACACAGGUGCAUGCAUCUGUAAACACUGCACUGAGCUUUACCUGGAAGAUUCGUGCACUAUAAUAGGUGUACAAAAUAAAGAGGGCACACAUCCCUUUGAUGUGUCUUUCCACGACAGGACGUUCACAUGCUUUGCCUGAUUUCAUCCUCACCCCACACUCCUGCGUGGAAAGGUGGAUGGGUUUACAGAGGAGGAAGCUCAGCCCUGCCACUCGCCAAUACAAGCAGAGACAGUCUCCCGGAAAUGCCACUUCCUUACCUGAAAACCAUUCUAGAUAAAUUAGACUAGAUGGGGUUUGUCUGUAAACCCGUGGUCACCACAGAGGUGGGCACGUCAGCAUCCUGACUGACUCCCGAGGCAGGACGCACGUUAGGCUAACUGGGGUGGAAGCCAUUGCGUGCAGAUGAAUGGACCACAGGCUGGCUGUUGGGACGGCAGGGUGUGCCCCACCUGGACAGCGCUCAUGUCCUACUGUCACCCAGUCCAACCUGCUAUUACUUGCUGCAUGACAGGCCAAUAAAUCAAGAGACGAGCUGUUGGGGCAAGCAAGAGUGACUUUAUUUGGAAAGCCAGCAGAUCGAGAAAAUGGUAAAUUGGUAUCCCAAAGGACCGUCUUACCCAAGCUAGAAUUCAGGCUUCUUUUAUAUUAAAAUGUGACAAUAGUUGCUGCAGACUUCUUGGUACCAGAAUCCUUUGUUCCUGCAGCAGCCAUGGUCAGGUCACCAGGUUCUUAAAAACCCUCAAUAGGGCAAAUGUUACUCCCUGUCCUGCAGCUUUGCAUCUCUAUGUGAAUGGAAAAGUGUUACACCUUUAAAGGGCAGAGCCUUGGGAAGGGGUUAUCCUGUAUAUUUCAGGCUAGAGGCAACAUUCUUGUAGCAAAAGCCACAGAAUACAACGUUAAUGAAAAAGUAACAGAUCCAAUAUGGAGUCAGAUGUGUUCUUCCCUGGUAUCCCCACUUGUCCCCUUGCGGCUGCCUUAGCCCGAAAGCAACCUGAGCAUUUAGAAGGGUGAGCAGGGCGAGUCCCUCUUGAUUAUGUGACGUGUCCCAUGGCAAACCUGGAUUAAACAGUCAUACAACUACUUAAAAAUCCCAGCGGGAAGGACGGGGCAGACCCCCCUCUUUCCAUGCUACUUGCAAUGAGAAAGCUUCCUGGGGUUGGGGGAGGGAAGGGAGGCGAGGAGGAGAACUUUGAAGGCAAUCACCCCAAAUCCCUUCUUAUCUCGGCGCCUGUGAACUUCCUUUUUCUGCUGAGUUGUUAGUCUGGGCAAAGGACACGGACAAACACGUACUCAUUAAAAAUGCUUCUCAAAUGGCUAAUCAGUGCAGGGGUUUAGAAGAGCUGGCGUGAUGCACCCAGAAAUGAGGGCAGGGCUGCACAUUCUUCAAGAGCCCGGGGCCCUGCCUCUCCCCACUUCCGGGCUCUCCGAGGAUGUAAAUGAAAUAUUUGCUGAACUGAGCACAGAGAAGCUGAAAAACGGUGCCUUUCAACUGUGUUCCCCUGGAGAUCAAUCCAGGCACACACAGGUACAACCAAGUCGCAUCGCAAGUCACUGAGUCACCAACACGCUCUCAUGAGAGACCAGAAAAUGUUAUAUCCGGGUGAUCUUUUGUUUAUUCAACGGACAUGUAGCUAUUAAGCUCCUGCAGUUGUCAGGAACUGGGCUGGGGGCUGGGUCGUUACAAAGAGGUAACUCCAGAUAACUCAGGAAGAAGACGCAUUCCAAGAUAAAGUUAACACCGUGAGCUCGCUUCCUGGCUCUUGCUCCCUGCACCAGCGGCUUUGUGGCUGAUGGCGUGUGGGAGGCGUGCAGAUAAACUGCAAACUAAUCUGCCUGCAGACUGAUCUCCAAGGCAGUGCACGAGUUCACGAGAGCCAAAGGAAGAAAGCAACACUGGCUAAAUUCCUGUUUCUGGCAUUGCACAAAGCAUUUUCUUUUUUUUUCCUUUUAGGGCCGGACGCGUGGCAUAUGGAGGUUUCCAGGCUAGGGGUCCAAUCAAAGCUGCAGCUGCCGGCCUACACCACAGCCACUGCAACGCAGGAUCCAAGCCACGGCUGUGACUUAUACCAGAGCUCACAGCAACGCCAGACCCUUAACCCACUGAGCAAGGCCAGGGAUCGAACCUGCGUCCUUAUGGAUGCUAGUCAGAUUAGAUUCAUUCCCAGUGAGCCAUGACCGGAACUCCCAAGCUAGAUAUUUCUUUAAAUAUUUCUUUUCACUCUACCCCCAACCCAUGGCGUCAUUCUGGCUGUGUCCCCUUCUUGCUCAUUAGCAUACGUGAUCAUCACGGCAUCCCAUUUAAGGAGUGGAAAAGUGAUAGAAAUGAAAAGACCUGCCACCAGUUCCAGAGACAGACUAAAGAUGAAGUAGGAAUGAGAACAAUUACACCGGGAACUCCUGGCUAGAUCUGGCUGGCAAGAGAAUUCAACAGCCCCUCGGGGGGUGGGGGGGUCAGACACCCUCCACCCCCAGGACCCAGACCAGCCCUCCAGGGACCCUCUCUGGGCAUCCUGGGCCCCUUUUCCAACCCAACGCUGCAGGGCUCCCCCCCUCCCAUCAUGACCACCUUCUCCAGGGGUCUCUCUGCUCCUGUUGCGGUGUGAGAUACCAGGAGCCUGGCAUGACCCGCUCCAGUAGCCCCGGAAAUUCAGGAGAGCAAACACCCCAGGGAGUAGACUUUGACCGAGGACAAGGUCAUCCCCCUCCCAUCCCCCCUCCCCCAAAGGCUGUUUCCCAGGGCAGAGCUCACCUGCCUCUUAGAGACGGUCCCUCAUGCUUAAACAAGACCAAGAGGAAACCAGUGUGUCCCCUCCUCUCCUGCCUCCUCUUUCUCUCUCUCCAGCUUCUUUGAAUUCUCUCUCCUCAAGUCGGAACACAUAUGCUUUUGCUCAGCCUCUGCUCAGUGGGAUUCUCAGAGAAAGUAAUUUCACUCUCAUUAUUAUUAAUUAGGAUAGAUAAAAGGCUGGAGGGAUGGAGGGAGAGAGGGCGGGGGAGAGAGAGAAAGGAGGAGAGAGGAGCUGGCAUUGGCUCUGGAUGAAUGUUAAAGAAGCCUGAGUAUUCCAGGGGUUGGGCCCGGUCCGGUGGUUCAAGGUAAGGGCACAGAUUUUAUAGCCAACGGCCUGGGUCUGCAGCCCUCUCUAAUUACAAGCCUGUAAUUGAGCGCGUUCAGAUAGAUAAUAAUAAUUCCUACAUCACAGAGUUUCUGCAAAUAUUAAAUGUUCUGGUAUUUGAAAAAACACCUAGGACAGUAUCUGAAUUAGUAUAAGUAUAGUUUAUGUAUUUAUUAAACACACACAUCAA